ensembl:lncRNA
GUAUUGUCCUGCCAGGCUAGGUAGGAAUUAGCUUUGAAGGUGUUUAGUCCCUGAAAGUUGAGGGCUUACUUGUUACAGCUGCUACAGUUACCGGACAAAGGGAGAAUGCCUGUGUCCUUGGUGACAUCAUCGGUCCACUGAACUAAUCAACUGGGGAACCCCUCCUGAAGAAUUAUUGUGACUGAACAGAAGUUAAGCAAGAAGUAGAAGAAAAUGAGCCGUAAUACAGAGGAUUCGAGCCUGCCUGGGUGAGGCUCCAUUCAGCACAAUGGAACAGUUACUACUUCCUCCCGUUAAAUCUUAAUACCACAGCAAAGUUGACAUGGAGAGCAAACUGAAGACCAAGUGAGGUUGAACGAGCCUGACCUGACUUGACCCCUAGGAUCAAGGCUAGACUGAAGCCGUGAGCACCCGGCAGAUUAAUGAGUUGAUGUCCCUUCAACUUGUUAGUUUUGAAAUAUUUGUUCAACACUUAUCUGGUAUUCCAUGGAUAAACUGAUCUUC